rnacentral:lncRNA from 1 species
CUCAGAUUUAAAAACAGGAAUUUCAUAUUGUCCAUCUGUAAGAAAAUUUAGCUCCUAAACUUUUAUUGAUUAUGAUAUUUCACUUACCAGAAUAUUCAUAAUUAUAAGAUUUGCAAAGGGAAAAAUGAGUCUUUGAUGCAUGCUGUUUGCAGAGGUGUAAGGAGCAUCAACAAUUAAAUUACUUUGUGAUUAGGUCAGUUUAAGGGGAACCACAAAGGUCAAUAAUAUUUGGUAUACUAUUGUAUAAGCA